rnacentral:rRNA from 1 species
AUUGAACGCUGGCGGCAUGCCUUACACAUGCAAGUCGAACGGUAACAGGUCUUCGGAUGCUGGCGAGUGGCGAACGGGUGAGUAAUACAUCGGAACGUGCCCGAUCGUGGGGGAUAACGAGGCGAAAGCUUUGCUAAUACCGCAUACGAUCUACGGAUGAAAGCGGGGGAUCUUCGGACCUCGCGCGGACGGAGCGGCCGAUGGCAGAUUAGGUAGUUGGUGGGAUAAAAGCUUACCAAGCCGACGAUCUGUAGCUGGUCUGAGAGGAUGAUCAGCCACACUGGGACUGAGACACGGCCCAGACUCCUACGGGAGGCAGCAGUGGGGAAUUUUGGACAAUAGGCGAAAGCCUGAUCCAGCCAUGCCGCGUGCAGGAUGAAGGCCUUCGGGUUGUAAACUGCUUUUGUACGGAACGAAAAGCCUCUUUCUAAUAAAGAGGGGUCAUGACGGUACCGUAAGAAUAAGCACCGGCUAACUACGUG